GCCAGCCUUUCGCCCAGGGCAUAAAUGGCCGUCUUGCAGCGGGCGGGGGGGCUGUGGCUGGCGCUUCCCCGCCUUCAGCCCUCCCUCUCGGCAUCUGACAUCUCCUCCCGCCGGGCUGGGCGAGAAAGUGGCUGUCUGCGAAAGUUAACCGGCCUCCCUGCGCACUCUGGAGAAGCGGCGCCGCGGGCCGUGCCCGACCGCCCGCCCCGGCGUUGGGGUGGUGCUCAGGGACGGGCGAUACGCAGAAGGGUCGGUGGUAAAAUGAAACUGUAUCUUUCCAGCCCAGCAAAACUGUUGUGUGGAGCUGUCUACUUAUGACACAAUCCUGGAGAGCUGCAGAAGAACCCAGAUCAGGGAAGAACAAUCUAAUUAUCUGCUAGAAUGGAGGCCUGGAGCAACAAAGAUUCAAGAGCAAACCCGCAGUUAGUGGUUACUGUAGACUCUCUUCCUGGCUUUCUCAGCCUCAUUGGAUAACUACUGCCGAUUGAUUACAAUCAGGUAUUUCAGACCCAGCCAUAAACAUCAAAAGGACAGAAGCAGCCAACACACAGAGUAAAACUGGAAUGAACUCUCUGACAGAGUCAUCUGGAUCAUGACAACAGUAUACCAUUAAGUAUUUAGUCAGUGGGAAGGGGCAUGUGAUUGUAACAUAGCUAAGUCAUCAGUCUUGGUAAUUACAGGUAAGAAACAGAAUACUCAGGCAAGCAGUGGAGAAAGAUGGGUUAAAAUAAUAUGAUGUCAGUAAAGACGGGUGGGGACAAAUUCUUUUGCUUUCAAGCAAAAGAAUGCUUACUAUUUAUUUUCCUCUGAAGUUCUUUAUAUUUUAUAGAAACGGACCAUUUUGAAAAAUUCUCAUUGGCUCAAGAAAUAUGCCUGUCCAAGCCUCCUUAAAUCCAUUGAGAAGCAGAGAGGACUAUUAAGGAGAAAGAAACAAUUAAUGAAUGACCCUUGUCAUAUAGCCCUGUUCAAACAUACACUUUCCUCAACAAGUGCAGUAAACUGCAGCUUUGAAUUGGAUGCAAAAAGAAAUAUCCCCCCCAAAAAAGUCAUAUUUAGCUCAGCCAUGAAAGCUGCUCUCUUUAAUGUGGCAAGAACAGGAAUACAAGAGCUUCACAUUCCCCUUUUAUAUGUUUAACCUUUGACAAGAAGGUUAAACACUUUCCUCAUAACUGACUCACAUCAGGAAAUACAAGAACUAUAUUCUCCAGAUGAAGCCUGGCUAGCUGCAAAGUGCAAUGUCAGCGUCUGAAGUGGAGUAAAACAAGGAUUCCUUGUGCAGUUCUUAGUACUUCUACAGGGGCAGGAAGUGGGUCAGCAAAAGGGUCUUUUCCAGACAGGAGAAAGCUAAAAUGGUCAUGAGAACAACAAGGAAGUUCAGCGCAGGGGGAGAAUUGGCUCCAAUUUAAAACAUCUCACUGAGACCUAUUUUAAAUGCAUUGAUGUAUUAAAAUCCCUCCAGCAAAAUAGCAGGAAAGUUUACAAAACAUUAAAUGGAAUAUCU
rnacentral:lncRNA from 1 species